rnacentral:rRNA from 1 species
GACGAAGGGUGCAAACGUUGCUCGGAAUCAUUGGGCGUAAAGCGCACGUAGGCGGUCCACCAAGUCGGAUGUGAAAUCCCUCAGCUCAACUGAGGACGUGCAUUCGAAACUGGCGGACUUGAGUACCAAAGAGGAUUGCGGAAUUCCCGGUGUAGAGGUGAAAUUCGUAGAUAUCGGGAGGAACACCAGUGGCGAAGGCGGCAAUCUGGGUGGAUACUGACGCUGAGGUGCGAAAGCGUGGGGAGCAAACAGG